GCCUGGGGCCUGAAGGGACGUGGCGCUCAUCGGCCCCCAGAGGUGAUUCUGCCUGCAUGACGUCCUCCGUUCCGGAGGCGAGCUCGCCGCAUGCGCCACAUCAGGAUCAAAAAUAGAAAGAAAAAAAAAGAAGAAAAGAAGAAGCGGAAGAAGCUGCGGAGGCGGCGGAGGCGGCAAGGAGGAGGGGCCUCGCGCAGCGAUGGAGGAGGCAGCGGGGACGUGGGGACGCGACUUUGUGUAGGCGGGUCGUGGGGCGCCCAUGGCGGAGUGUGGCCCGGGCGCCACAGGCUGGAUGUUGAAUUGCCUAUACUUCAAUCUGAACGUGGGAUGAGAAUGAUGGCUGUGCAUUAAAUGAACAACUCAAUAUGUGACGCCAUGGAGAAGUACAAGGAGCUCAUACAAGAGAACAAUUCCUACACAUCAGGCACUUCCAGCUCCUGCGUGAACGGACUCCAUAGAAGAACAAUAUAAAGAUUUUGCUGUAUGAGAACAAAAAACUGAUGGUGGAGCAGACUGUUCUGCCAGCAUCCUGUGUGGAGGCAAAGAGGUUCUGUGAAGAGGCCGGAAUGAACAUCUGUGUCCCCAGAGCCAAGCAGUUGCAGGUCCAGCAAGUAUCUGCAUAGCAAGAUUUCCUGAAGUGGAAAUGAGUACAGGCCAGGGCAGCACAGCCUGCUUGACUGUAAGAGACUUGUACAUAACAUAGCUCCCACUAAUUCUUCAUUCAACAGAAAACCUGCUGGAUAAAAGGUAUGUUUUCCUUAGUGUGUGUGUGUUUGUG
ensembl:lncRNA